AUUGAACGCUGGCGGCAGGCCUAACACAUGCAAGUCGAACGGUAACAGGAAGCAGCUUGCUGCUUUGCUGACGAGUGGCGGACGGGUGAGUAAUGUCUGGGAAACUGCCUGAUGGAGGGGGAUAACUACUGGAAACGGUAGCUAAUACCGCAUAACGUCGCAAGACCAAAGAGGGGGACCUUCGGGCCUCUUGCCAUCGGAUGUGCCCAGAUGGGAUUAGCUAGUAGGUGGGGUAACGGCUCACCUAGGCGACGAUCCCUAGCUGGUCUGAGAGGAUGACCAGCCACACUGGAACUGAGACACGGUCCAGACUCCUACGGGAUGCAGCAGUGGGGAAUAUUGCACAAUGGGCGCAAGCCUGAUGCAGCCAUGCCGUGUGUAUGAAGAAGGCCUUCGGGUUGUAAAGUACUUUCAGCGGGGAGGAAGGGAGUAAAGUUAAUACCUUUGCUCAUUGACGUUACCCGCAGAAGAAGCACCGGCUAACUCCGUG
rnacentral:rRNA from 1 species